AGAGUUUGAUCCUGGCUCAGGAUGAACGCUGGCGGCGUGCUUAACACAUGCAAGUCGAACGAUGACCCGGUGCUUGCACCGGUGAUUAGUGGCGAACGGGUGAGUAACACGUGAGUAACCUGCCCUUAACUCUGGGAUAAGCCUGGGAAACUGGGUCUAAUACCGGAUAUGACUCCUCAUCGCAUGGUGCGGGGUGGAAAGCUUUAUUGUGGUUUUGGAUGGACUCGCGGCCUAUCAGCUUGUUGGUGAGGUAAUGGCUCACCAAGGCGACGACGGGUAGCCGGCCUGAGAGGGUGACCGGCCACACUGGGACUGAGACACGGCCCAGACUCCUACGGGAGGCAGCAGUGGGGAAUAUUGCACAAUGGGCGAAAGCCUGAUGCAGCGACGCCGCGUGAGGGAUGACGGCCUUCGGGUUGUAAACCUCUUUCAGUAGGGAAGAAGCGAAAGUGACGUACC
rnacentral:rRNA from 1 species